rnacentral:rRNA from 1 species
UACGUAGGUGGCAAGCGUUGUCCGGAUUUAUUGGGUUUAAAGGGUGCGUAGGCGGUCCUAUAAGUCAGUGCUGAAAUAUCCCGGCUUAACCGGGAGGGUGGCAUUGAUACUGCAGGACUUGAGUGAAGUCGGGGUAGGCGGAAUUGACGGUGUAGCGGUGAAAUGCUUAGAUAUCGUCAAGAACACCGAUAGUGAAGACAGCUUACUAGACUUCAACUGACGCUGAGGCACGAAAGUGUGGGGAUCAAACAGG